rnacentral:lncRNA from 1 species
GUUUUGACCAUUUAAUACCAGAUAGAUAUAUAGUUCUUUGAUAAAAUAUGAGCCCUUUUGUACAAACAAAUAUAUUAUAACUUAUAUUGAUCCCUCAUAAAACAUGUAAAAGGGAUAUUUAUAACAUUAAGGGUUGUCCCCAAACUGAUUAUGACUUGGAUGGAGAAUUGUCUCAUUGUCAGUCACACAUACAUAGACCAGAUUUAAUUAUUUCUUGGUGAACAGGGAAAAAAUACUUCAGAAAUUAAAGAAAUGUCAAAGUACAAGUGAUAAAUCAAGCUUUAAUAUUGUCAAAACCUACUAUUUUAUGUUUACAAAAAAAAA